rnacentral:rRNA from 1 species
CCCUAGUAACUGCGAGUGAAGCGGGAAAAGCUCAAAUUUAAAAUCUGGCGGUCUUUGGCCGUCCGAGUUGUAAUCUAGAGAAGUGUUAUCCGCGCUGGACCGUGUACAAGUCUCCUGGAAUGGAGCGUCAUAGAGGGUGAGAAUCCCGUCUUUGACACGGACUGCCAGGGCUUUGUGAUGCGCUCUCAAAGAGUCGAGUUGUUUGGGAAUGCAGCUCCAAAUGGGUGGUAAAUUCCAUCUAAAGCUAAAUAUUGGCGAGAGACCGAUAGCGAACAAGUACCGUGAGGGAAAGAUGAAAAGAACUUUGGAAAGAGAGUUAAACAGUACGUGAAAUUGCUGAAAGGGAAACGCUUGAAGUCAGUCGCGUUGGCCGGGGAUCAACCUUGCUUUUGCUGGGCGUACUUUCCGGUCGACGGGUCAGCAUCAAUUUUGACCGUUGGAUAAAGUCUAGAGGAAUGUGGCAUCUUCGGGUGUGUUAUAGCCUCUGGUCGCAUACAACGGUUGGGAUUGAGGAACUCAGCACGCCGCAAGGCCGGGUACUCGUACCACGUUCGUGCUUAGGAUGCUGGCAUAAUGGCUUUAAUCGACCCGUCUUGAAACACGGACCAAGGAGUCUAACAUGCCUGCGAGUGUUUGGGUGGAAAACCCGAGCGCGUAAUGAAAGUGAAAGUUGAGAUCCCUGUCGUGGGGAGCAUCGACGCCCGGACCAGACCUUCUGUGACGGUUCCGCGGUAGAGCAUGUAUGUUGGGACCC